UUUCUCAGAUGACAACCGUUCUGGUAUUGACAGUUCCCUACAUCGUAUAAGUGCAAUUAGAAACCGUAAAAUGCAAAUCAUUGGUCUUACCUGCCGGGUAGGUCGAGCUGUAUCUGGAAGUGCUGAGAUCAUACGCGACCUAGUUGAAGGAGGUGGCUCCAUAUUGGUGAUCGGGCCUCCAGGGGUUGGUAAAACUACUUUAAUCAGGUAUCCAAAUUUACUGCUUGCUUUUUGUGAACAUCCCAAAAGUAAUUGCUGACUUAGUUGAAGGAGGUGGCUCCAUAUUGGUGAUCGGGCCUCCAGGGGUUGGUAAAACUACUUUAAUCAGGUAUCCAAAUUUACUGCUUGCUUUUUAUGAACAUCCCAAAAGUAAUUGCUUGUUAUAUUUUACUGCUACUUGUCACUAUUCAACUUUUCUCCCAAUCUUAAUGAAGAAUGACUAGUACGGAGCCAGGAUUUUCAUUCAGAGGUGUCAAAAUUUUAAAACGUAAAUACAUGAAGAUUCAACUUAUAGGAUAUAUACAUAGCCAAAAAAAAAAAAAACACGAAACAAUGUAAUUUUCCCGCGAAGAGGUGUCAAUUGACAACCCUUGGAGCUAUGUGGCUCCGCCACUACUAGUACCCGUCAAUAAAUUUGAGCUCUGUGUGUGCAGAGAAAUAGCCAGAAUGCUAGCAGAUGACCAGAAAAAAC
rnacentral:lncRNA from 1 species